rnacentral:lncRNA from 1 species
UUGAGAACAUUCAACCACUGAAUUGGAGAAAGAAUGGAAAAGAGGAUCACCCAGGCCCCUUAAGAGGUUCUGUGCAAAUUGCUCAAUGGAAAGACCGGUAUUGGAGGGAGGAGCCAGUGUCUUUCUCUUCUUACAAAUGGAUUGAAGAAUAACCAAAUGCUAAUAAGAAGAAAGAUGAUUCCAUGGUGCAGUGAGAAGACAUCUGGCUUCAG